AAGGUCCAUGCAGCAUGCCAACAGGAGACCAUGUGGAGCGAGCAAAGGAACAACUCGCCAAGAGGAUCUUUGGGAAGGGUUAAUCCAGCAGGAAGCCUGACUAGUCAACCCUUCCCCCACCCCAGGCAAAGAACACUUUCCUCCCAAACCCUGGCUGGCAGGUGCUGCUACAAAAGACAAUAGGAAUAAAGUUCUAGAAGACAAAAUGGGCAAGAAAUGAUGGUAACAGCAUGAGCCGGCUUUUAUUCUUACGUUAGAAUUUACAUGAAAUUAUUCUGGGUCAAAUCUUCAUUAAGCACUUCAAACUCUUACCUCCAGUUUCUCACUUAUCGGUCCAUGAAAAGGUGACCAGUCUGUGGACAACACAAGUGUGGGAAAGAAAAUAGAUGAGAAUAGAGGUGAGUUAAGGUAGAGAUGACCCGGGACACAGUCCUUGUCGGGGAAGUAAAGGCAGCAGUGGAUAAGAUGCAGGUAACAGAGAACUGCACAGCACAUUGUGAAAAUAAACUGAUGAGAGACUAAUAGGCUUUGGGUUAACAAAGAACAGCCAGCUCUGAUGCCUUUAGAGGGAAGUGGCAGCUUUUGUAGAAAUGGGAGAAGCCAGACGAAAACACGGGUAUAGAGAGAAAUAGCCUCACUGAAGUCCACAGCUGCCGCACACUGAGUUCUCACCACACGGAGCUGUGCCUUCUUCUACCAAUGGACCGUUUCCUAAGUCUUGCCUUGGUGAGAUAGAAUUAGACCACCAACAUUGUGGCGAAAGUGCUCGCUCCUGAAGCCUGGCAUUCUUUGUUUGAUACCUGGGACCCAGAGCGGAAGGGAAGAACUACCUCCUGAACGUUGUCUUCCAACCUCCAUUAUCUGGCUAGUUACAAGUUAAGUUCAAAAUGGGUGACAGCACACUACAAUAGACUUGCAAUAAUUGCACUGCCUUUGGCCCAAGAACUACUGGCCAAUAUACAAUGUGGUGGAGGCUGAAGCUUUGCAAAGGAGACACAAGCCUUGAAGAUGAGAAAUACAGUAGCUGCCCACCAGAAGUUGACAGUGACCAGUUGAGAGCAGUCAUCAAAGCUGACCCUCUUACAACAUCACAAGGGGAUGCCAAAGAACUCAACGCAGCUUCCUUUGGCAUUUGAAGCAGAUUUUAAAGGCAGGACAGCUUGAUAAGAGUGUGCUUUAUAAACUGGUUGAAAACAAUUUUAAUUUUUUAUUUUGAAUUGUUAUUCUCUUCAUCUAUGGAUCAUGACAUGCAAUGAAAAGAGCAGCUCCUGGGCUGAAAAGAAGCUUCAGGGAACUUCCAAAACCCAAAAUUGCGCACACACACACAAAAACACACACACACACACACACACACACACACACACACACACAGUGUCAAACCAAUGAGUUGCACUAAAAUCUCUAAUGCCUCCAGCUAGCACUGGUCAACAGAACGGGACUGAUUCUUCUCCAUGACAACGCCCAGUCCACACUGCACAGGCAGAGCUUCAAAAUUAAGUAAACUGGGCUAUGAAGCUUUAUCUUAUGUACCAUAUUCACCUGUCCUGGUCACUGCUGAUGAUCAUUUCUUCUAGCACCUUGACGACUUUUUUCAGGGAAAUGUUUCCUUGUGUUGGCUUUGACAGAGCUGAGAGGUAAGCAUGCCCCUGUUGCUCAUUAUUUUCUGUAGUUAGGAAAUACUUCCCAAUUCUACACUGAGACAGUGAAGAGAUGCACUCUCCUUCCUUCCGUCACAGCGUUCAGAGGAAGCAGUUUCAGCCAGCCCUGCCCAGCACACCUACAAGCUGUCAGUAAAUAUCUGUCGUAUUAUUUACUUCUCUUAGCCCUUGUGAACUGAAAUGGCCAACGCAGAAUGUUUCUGUCUCCUAACUCACAGCUAGAUAUUCAUUGCUUCUCCCCACCAUUUAUUUUUUCAGUGUUAUCUCUCUCAAAGGAGGUAUAACAUCUUGGGCUGACAGGCUGAGGCAGAUUCUGGGAGAGAAGCAAAGCAAUAGCAGGGUCUUCAUUAUCACCUUCCUCAAAGCAGUAAUCUCUAGCAUCCUUUUGAAGGAGUGACCCCAGCCAACAACUAUGGGGACCUUGUUAUUCCUGGCCAUGACUUCUUUAGAGUAGAGUUACUGUUCUCUUCGUGGCCAGAUAAACAAAGAAAAUCAAGACAACUCACUAAAUGUGAAUACUGACAUUUAAGUGUGUGUGUGUGUGUGUGUGUAUGUGUGUGUGUGUGUGUGUGUGUGUGUGUGUGUGAGAGAGAGAGAGAGAGAGAGAGAGAGAGAGAGGCAGACAGACAGACGAACAGACAGACAGACAGAAAUGGCCCACUUGUCAAAGACAUGUGUCUCUAAGCCUAAUGACCUGAGUUCAUCACUAGCAUCCACAUGGUAGAAGGAGAGAAUUGA